CCAACAUGGCUUACGAGCCUCCGCCCGGGCAAACGCAACUCGCGCGCGGCGCCGAGCUGCGCGCCGAGCACAACAUCAACCCGCCCACUGAUUGUUCCACAUG
rnacentral:misc_RNA from 1 species